rnacentral:rRNA from 1 species
UACGAAGGGUGCAAGCGUUACUCGGAAUUACUGGGCGUAAAGCGUGCGUAGGUGGUUUGUUAAGUCUGUUGUGAAAGCCCCGGGCUCAACCUGGGAAUGGCAAUGGAUACUGGCAGGCUAGAGUGCGGUAGAGGGUAGUGGAAUUCCCGGUGUAGCGGUGAAAUGCGUAGAGAUCGGGAGGAACACCAGUGGCAAAGGCGGCUACCUGGACCAGCACUGACACUGAGGCACGAAAGCGUGGGGAGCAAACAGGG